UUACUAUAUCAUGCAGCUUGUAGGCCAAAUUGUAUGCUCAUUUUGUGCUUAUAUGCAAAGAUAUCAAACUAAUUCUAAUGAAUCACAUCUAAUUGAUAUCAAAAGAUUCAUAAAAAUCUGUUAAGAUAAUAAAACUAAGUAAGUACUCCAAUCUUAGGUAAAAGCAAAACAAGCAUAAUAUAUUCAGCACAUUUGUAAGAAUUAUGUGAGCAUUCCUUUGGAUGGGAUAAAAUCCAUAAUCAACUAUAAUAGGAAGAGUUUGGAGUGAACAUUUUUAAAGAGAAAAGUUUAACCUUUCUACAUUGCUC
rnacentral:lncRNA from 1 species